rnacentral:lncRNA from 10 species
GGAGCUGCCGUGAGUCUGGGCGGGCACCAUCCAGUGAGCCCCCAGGCCAGCCCCCGGAGUCUGCAAAUGAAAGGAGCUGUGGGAGCCCAGGUCUGCCAAGGAGCUGGAGUCUGCAGUGUGGACUCCACCAGAGGCCAAUGGGUGAGCUCAAGGGCAGACUGGGGUGGAGCUGGGACAGCCCCAUCCAGGGGUGAGAGCUGGUGUGGGGCAGCCCUGGUUGCCCUCCCUGAGAUCAGGCUGGAUGGAGGUGGGACCUCCCAGGCAGAGAACUUGGCUCUGGUCUCCCAUUGCCAUGUGGACUGGGCCCUCUGGGACCACACUGGGCCCUUGUUUCCAGGAGCUGGAGGAGCUGAGACAGGGACCAUGUGAAGUGAAGGCAGGGCCUGGGCCGGGGGGCAGGGGUUGGAGUAGGAAGCCUGGCUUGUUGGAACCAAUGAAUUGGGAUGGGGGUUCUCCAUUGAGCACCAAGGACUCAGCCUAGACUCAUCCCAGGCCCGUAACCCCGGCUGCCCUGUCCUCGUACAACCUCAGCGUGGCCCUGAGAGGGGACUAGGCCUCACUCCUUGGCAGGGUGGACUCACCAAUUGAAGUGAUGAAACAAGUGCGUUGGGGAGCGAGGCUUUGCGGGCCCAGCCCUGUGCAGGCAAACUGUGCAGGGACCCUGGAAAGGAUGUGGAGAUGGAGGGCGAUGUGAGGCCUGCCCUCAGGGGCUCCUGGGCUAGGCAGUACUACCCGUAUGGGGAGCGCUGCGGGACUCAGGGUAAAAGAGGGAGUGAAGGAUCAGGGGUUCAGGGCAAGUGUUCUGGACUUCAGUCACCUGCACAGCUUGGAGGGGAAGGUGAGCCCUCUUGCCCCCUCCCCUGGUGCUGUUCCGUCAGCACUGCACCUGAUGCCGCCAUGGUGGCCUCUUUGGGGCGAAGAACAGUCCCUAGGAAGGCCCCUGUGAGGCUGGAGCUCUGAAUCCAAGGGGGAGCGAAGUUCUUGGGGAGCCUGCAGAUCAAGAUACGCGCCAGCCCCACCCUCCUCCAUCACAGACUUCUUUGCAGGAGGUGGGUUCAGAGCUGGCUGAGAUGCAGACUGAGCUCGAGAAGGUCUGCAAUGUGCUGGAAGCUUGAGACUCAGAGCUGAGAGCUGAGCAGUGGGCCCUGGAGGCUGCCCAGGACCAGGUGCUCAGCAGCUGCCCCCCUGCACUGUGCUUCCGACUGGCCUGCAUGGCUCCCACAGGCUCCCCCAUGCCCGAUCCCUGCUGCCUGCCGCAUGGUGCCCAUGCAGGCCUUGACCUUUCCUUCCCCACACUCCGUCACUCAAGUUCCUCCCAAGCCCUUGCUGCCCACUGGGAGGGCUCAGCCUGGAACGUGUUCACUGCUUCCCCCCGCCCACCUCUAAGCUGGUGGAGAGCCUCCCUGAGAAACUGAGGCUGCAGCAGCAGCUGAAAAGGAGCUGGUAGAGAAGCAGUGACUGCGGGGUGAGGGGUGCCUGCAUCUGAGGGGCUCUUUGGGGAGAAACCCCACCCUCCCUCCCAGAGAUGCUCCUCAGCCCCCACAGCUCUUCCUCUUCUCUGAGAACCUGGGGCAGGGGGCAGGGGGGCAGGGGCAUUUAGGGACACGUUGUGGAGGCUGCCCUCUCAUCCCCUCAGGGGUUAGGAUGGGUGGGGCUGAGCAGCGGCCUGAGGCCUGACCUAUCUCCUGGUCUGCCUUCUUCUCUCUGAAGAGGGGAAGCCAGGGAAAGCAGCAGCAGGAGGGUGGGCUGUGGGGCACAGGGAAUCAGACCAUCUGGGCCCCUGGGCCUGGAGCAAUGGAUGGAAGGAGAAUGGCAGUAGAACCGAGAAGUCUUACACUUCACUCUCCACCACUCCCCAGCUUGGCGAGCAUGAGCAAGUCCUGCCUUCACUAAGCCUCACUAUCCUCUGUAAAAUGGAAACACGGACAGUACCUAUGACACAGGAUUGAUGUGAGGAUGACAUGGGACACAGUGCACCGGGGACAGUGCUUAUGUUC